UACAGAGGUCUCAAGCGUUGUUCGGAUUCAUUGGGCGUAAAGGGUGUGUAGGUGGCGCCGUAAGUCGGGUGUGAAAUUUCGGAGCUUAACUCCGAAACUGCAUUCGAUACUGCGGUGCUUGAGGACUGGAGAGGAGACUGGAAUUCAUGGGGUAGCAGUGAAAUGCGUAGAGAUCAUGAGGAAGACCAGUGGCGAAGGCGGGUCUCUGGACAGUUCCUGACACUGAGACACGAAGGCCAGGGGAGCAAACGGG
rnacentral:rRNA from 1 species